GAUGAACGCUGGCGGCGUGCUUAACACAUGCAAGUCGAACGGAAAGGCCCAAGCUUGCUUGGGUACUCGAGUGGCGAACGGGUGAGUAACACGUGGGUGAUCUGCCCUGCACUUCGGGAUAAGCCUGGGAAACUGGGUCUAAUACCGGAUAGGACCACAUUUUGGAUGGUGUGGUGGAAAGUUUUUCGGUGUGGGAUGAGCUCGCGGCCUAUCAGCUUGUUGGUGGGGUAAUGGCCUACCAAGGCGUCGACGGGUAGCCGGCCUGAGAGGGUGUACGGCCACAUUGGGACUGAGAUACGGCCCAGACUCCUACGGGAGGCAGCAGGGGGGAAGAUUGUACAAGGGGCGCAAGCCUGAUGCAGCGACGCCGCGUGGGGGAUGACGGCCUUCGGGUUGUAAACUCCUUUCGCUAGGGACGAAGCGUUAUGUGACGGUACCUGGAGAAGAAGCACCGGCUAACUACGUG
rnacentral:rRNA from 1 species